GCUACAGGCUUAACACAUGCAAGUCGAGGGGCAGCAUAACGAAAGCUUGCUUUGUUGAUGGCGACCGGCGCACGGGUGAGUAACGCGUAUCCAACCUUCCCUAUACUAGAGAAUAGCCCGGCGAAAGUCGGAUUAAUGCUCUAUGUUCUUCUUUGAUGGCAUCUGACGAGAAGCAAAGGUUUACCGGUAUAGGAUGGGGAUGCGUCUGAUUAGGUUGUUGGCGGGGUAACGGCCCACCAAGCCUACGAUCAGUAGGGGUUCUGAGAGGAAGGUCCCCCACAUUGGUACUGAGACACGGACCAAACUCCUACGGGAGGCAGCAGUGAGGAAUAUUGGUCAAUGGGCGAGAGCCUGAACCAGCCAAGUAGCGUGCAAGGAUGACUGCCCUAUGGGUUGUAAACUGCUUUUAUGCGGGAAUAAAGUCAGGUACGUGUACCUGUUUGUAUGUACCGCAUGAAUAAGGACCGGCUAAUUCCGUGCCAGCAGCCGC
rnacentral:rRNA from 1 species